GGUCCGGUAGCAUAAUGGUUAAUGCAUCAGGGUAUUAUAGGACAGCUGUUGGGUGAUUUUCAUACUGAGUAUCCUUGUUCGACUCAAGGCUGGACCA